AAGGAGUCUAACAUCUCUGCGAGUGUUUGGGUGUAAAACCCGAGCGCGCAAUGAAAGUGAAUGUAGGUGCGAUCCGCAAGGUGCAGCAUCGACCGAUCUGGAUCUUUAGUGAUGGAUUUGAGUAAGAGCAUAUAUGUUGGGACCCGAAAGAUGGUGAACUAUGCCUGAAUAGGGCGAAGCCAGAGGAAACUCUGGUGGAGGCUCGUAGCGAUUCUGACGUGCAAAUCGAUCGUCAAAUUUGGGUAUAGGGGCGAAAGACUAAUCGAACCAUCUAGUAGCUGGUUCCUGC
rnacentral:misc_RNA from 1 species